AGUGAACGCUGGCGGUAGGCCUAACACAUGCAAGUCGAACGGCAGCACAGUAAGAGCUUGCUCUUACGGGUGGCGAGUGGCGGACGGGUGAGGAAUACAUCGGAAUCUACUUUUUCGUGGGGGAUAACGUAGGGAAACUUACGCUAAUACCGCAUACGACCUACGGGUGAAAGCAGGGGAUCUUCGGACCUUGCGCGAUUGAAUGAGCCGAUGUCGGAUUAGCUAGUUGGCGGGGUAAAGGCCCACCAAGGCGACGAUCCGUAGCUGGUCUGAGAGGAUGAUCAGCCACACUGGAACUGAGACACGGUCCAGACUCCUACGGGAGGCAGCAGUGGGGAAUAUUGGACAAUGGGCGCAAGCCUGAUCCAGCCAUACCGCGUGGGUGAAGAAGGCCUUCGGGUUGUAAAGCCCUUUUGUUGGGAAAGAAAAGCAGCAGGUUAAUACCCCGCUGUUCUGACGGUACCCAAAGAAUAAGCACCGGCUAACUUCAU
rnacentral:rRNA from 1 species